AUCAGGUAGGAAGAAGUAAAGUACAUACAAUAGACUGAAGGAAUAGAGUGGGCAUUCAGGGACAGGUAGGGAAAUUAAUAUAACCAUGUUUGAGAUUGUUUUCCUUCCUUUGCAUAAGGUGCUCUCAUUUCUAAUCAAAGAAAACAAGUAUUCAGAUUGCCUGCAGCCCCUCAAGAGCCAAGAUAUGAUGCUUUGAAGAAGAAGAAAAAAAAAAGCCUGUAAGAAAUAAUUGAAAGGAAACAGGCUUAAAUAAUACAAGUUUACCCUAAACGAUUUAGGAAGUCUGUGGCUCUUACCAAAUCAGGUGUGAAUUUUGAUACCACAACUGCCCAAAAAAAGGUCCUAGUUACAUGUGACUUACGUGCCUGGUCUGCUGCCUUUUAACUGACUCCUAAAUCAUGAGAUUUUACAUUAUGAAACUUGAUGCUACAAUCAAUUUCCUCAGCAAACAGGAGGUUUAGAAUGCUCUUAGCAAAUCUGUUGUUACUCCACCACAGUCUCUGGUAAUGUAUAUCUCUGUAAUUUUUGAUAGAAAAUCAGUACAAAAGCUUAUAAAGCAAAGUUGAAGUUUGUUAGACGUGAAUGGUAUACAAAAAUAAUUGGAAACAGAUAUGAUUCCCUAAACCACAUAUUUCUCAAGCUGCUUUCUUUCAACCAGUCUCCUAAUUUCA